GAUGAACGCUGGCGGCGUGCCUAAUACAUGCAAGUCGAGCGAACAGACGAGGAGCUUGCUCCUCUGACGUUAGCGGCGGACGGGUGAGUAAAACGUGGAUAACCUACCUAUAAGACUGGGAUAACUUCGGGAAACCGGAGCUAAUACCGGAUAAUAUAUUGAACCGCAUGGUUCAAUAGUGAAAGACGGUUUUGCUGUCACUUAUAGAUGGAUCCGCGCCGCAUUAGCUAGUUGGUAAGGUAACGGCUUACCAAGGCAACGAUGCGUAGCCGACCUGAGAGGGUGAUCGGCCAAACUGGAACUGAGACACGGUCCAGACUCCUACGGGAGGCAGCAGUAGGGAAUCUUCCGCAAUGGGCGAAAGCUGGACGGAGCAACGCCGCGUGAGUGAUGAAGGUCUUCGGAUCGUAAAACUCUGUUAUUAGGGAAGAACAAAUGUGUAAGUAACUAUGCACGUCUUGACGGUACCUAAUCAGAAAGCCACGGCUAACUACGUG
rnacentral:rRNA from 1 species